CCUACGGGAGGCAGCAGUGGGGAAUCUUAGACAAUGGGCGCAAGCCUGAUCUAGCCAUGCCGCGUGAGUGACGAAGGUCUUAGGAUCGUAAAGCUCAUUCGCCAGAGAUGAUAAUGACAGUAUCUGGUAAAGAAACCCCGGCUAACUCCGUGCCAGCAGCCGCGGUAAUA
rnacentral:rRNA from 1 species